rnacentral:rRNA from 1 species
UACGGGGGGGGCAAGCGUUGUUCGGAAUUACUGGGCGUAAAGGGCUCGUAGGCGGCCAACUAAGUCGGAUGUGAAAUCCCUCGGCUUAACCGGGGAACUGCGUCUGAUACUGGAUGGCUUGAGUUCGGGAGAGGGAUGCGGAAUUCCAGGUGUAGCGGUGAAAUGCGUAGAUAUCUGGAGGAACACCGGUGGCGAAGGCGGCAUCCUGGACCGACACUGACGCUGAGGAGCGAAAGCCAGGGGAGCAAACGGG